AUUGAACGCUGGCGGCAUGCCUUACACAUGCAAGUCGAACGUGAAAGCGGGGCAACCCGCAAGUAGAGUGGCGGACGGGUGAGUAAUACAUCGGAACGUGUCCAGUAAUGGGGGAUAACCUAGCGAAAGUUAGGCUAAUACCGCAUAUGAUCUGCGGAUGAAAGCGGGGGAUGCGGCACUAAAGGCUUUUGGCGAAGGUGGCCAAAGGUGAGUCAAGAGCUUUUAGUGCUGCACCUCGCGUUAUUGGAGCGGCUGAUGUCUGAUUAGCUAGUUGGUGAGGUAAAGGCUUACCAAGGCGACGAUCAGUAGCUGGUCUGAGAGGACGGCCAGCCACACUGGGACUGAGACACGG
rnacentral:rRNA from 1 species